UACGAAGGGGGCUAGCGUUGUUCGGAAUUACUGGGCGUAAAGGGCACGUAGGCGGUGCGGUAAGUCUUUUGUGAAAUCUCCGGGCUCAACUCGGAGUCUGCAGGAGAAACUGCCGUGCUUGAGUAUGGGAGAGGUGAGUGGAAUUCCUGGUGUAGCGGUGAAAUGCGUAGAUAUCAGGAGGAACACCGGUGGCGAAGGCGGAUCUCUGGGCCAUUACUGACGCUGAGGAGCGAAAGCGUGGGGAGCGAACAGG
rnacentral:rRNA from 1 species